GCAAACUUGGUCAUUUAGAGGAAGUAAAAGUCGUAACAAGGUUUCCGUAGGUGAACCUGCGGAAGGAUCAUUACAGUGCCGCGGGGUGCGCCGGUUCCGGCCUCCGCCCCGCACACGGCCACCCGUGUCUACCGUACCUUUUGUUGCCUCGGCGGGCCCGUCGCUCCUUCCCUCCGUGUCCCCUCUCGGGGGGCUCCGCGGUGGGAAGGCGCGACCGCCGGGCGGCACCUGCCGCCCAGCCCGCGCCCGCCAGAGGACCACACGAACCCUUUUUUAAUGAAUCCUGUGACGUCUGAUUUUGAGAUUUGAUCAUUAAAUCAAGUUUACAAAACUUUCAACAACGGAUCUCUUGGUUCCGGCAUCGAUGAAGAACGCAGC
rnacentral:misc_RNA from 1 species